rnacentral:lncRNA from 12 species
GUGAGUUGUAAAUGCUGUCUGAGAGUUGAAUCAUGCAGCCCAAAAUACCUUAAUGUUUGGCUUAAUUUCUUCAUCCAUAAAGUGGAGGAAAUAAUCCUACCUUGUAGCAUUGUUUUGAGGGUUCAGUGAGAUAAUAUGUGUAAAAUGCUUCGUGAGUAAGCAAGAGGCAUUAUUUGUUCUUCUUGUACACAGUGGGCAGAUUGAUAAACCUUUGUCUAGCGAAGAGAUGGGGACCCUCAGGCAUGCAGAAUGUGCAAGAUGAUGAGCAGCAGAGGAAGGAGAAGGGAGGAUACGUUGAGGCCACCAAGCCAGUGAUGAGCUGUGUGCAGCAUGCUUGGUGGAUUUGUUCACAAGAGUGGGAAGCAGAGAGAGAUGGACAAACCUUAUGAAGAGACAGAAGGCAAGUCAAGGGAAUGGGAACUGUCAUUCUUCAACAUUGAAAUCACAACUGUAAUGAGGGGCACCUGGGUGGCUCAGUCGGUUAACUGUCUGCCUUCAGCCAGUGUCAUGAUCUCAGAGUCCUGGGAUGGAGCCCCAUACUGGGCUCCCUGCUCAGUGGGGAGCCUGCUUCUCCCUCUCUCUCUGCCCCAAUCCCUCUCCCCACCCCCACCCCCCGUCCUCAGCUCAUGUUCUCUCUCUGUCUCAAAUAAAUAA